UUCCCAACACCGUGCUCUUCUUAGAGUUGAGCAGGUGGUGAAGGAACAAAAUAUGUUGUAUGUUUUUGGUAUCCUGGAAGGGUAUUGUAAUCUCCUGAUUGAAAGAGUCCAUCUCAUUGAGCAAGAAAAAGAUUGUCCCGAUGAGCUCAAGGAGGCAAUCUCUGG